GCGAAGGCAGUUUUCUGGAUCAUUACUGACACUGAGGAACGAAAGCAUGGGUAGCGAAGAGGAUUAGAUACCCUCGUAGUCCAUGCCGUAAACGAUGUGUGUUAGACGUUGGAAAUUUAUUUUCAGUGUCGCAGCGAAAGCAAUAAACACACCGCCUGGGGAGUACGACCGCAAGGUUAAAACUCAAAUGAAUUGACGGGGACCCGCACAAGUAGUGGAGCAUGUGGUUUAAUUCGAAGAUACGCGCAGAACCUUACCAACACUUGACAUGUUCGUCGCGACUUUAAGAGAUUAAAGUUUUCGGUUCGGCCGGACGAAACACAGGUGCUGCAUGGCUGUCGUCAGCUCGUGUCGUGAGAUGUUGGGUUAAGUCCCGCAACGAGCGCAACCCUUACUUUUAGUUGCCAUCAUUUAGUUGGGCACUCUGAAAGAACUGCCAGUGAUAAGCUGGAGGAAGGUGGGGAUGACGUCAAGUCCUCAUGGCCCUUACGUGUUGGGCUACACACGUGCUACAAUGGUAUUUACAAUAGGAAGCAAGACGGCGACGUCAAGCAAAUCCUAAAAAAAUACCUCAGUUCGGAUUGUACUCUGCAACUCGAGUACAUGAAGCUGGAAUUACUAGUAAUCGCGGAUCAGCGUGCCGCGGUGAAUGCGUUCCCGGGUCUUGUACACACCGCCCGUCACACCAUGGGAGUUGGUUCUACCUUAAGGCAAAGUUUAAAACCUUUGACCACGGUAUAGUCAGCGACUGGGGUGAAGUCGUAACAAGGUAACC
rnacentral:rRNA from 1 species